CCCGGAGUCCUCCCCGCCUCCCAUUGCCAUGGCUGCCGGUGGCGGCGUCGCUCCUGCUGGCGAAGGUCUGCGUUACGCCGAGUAUUCGCCGCCGGCGACCAAAAGGGCCGAUGCGGACGUCGACCACGGACUGGCAAGAAGUUUGAUAGCUGUCGGACUGGGUGUUGCAACUCUUGCCUUUGCAGGUCGCUAUGCAUUUCAGAUCUGGAAACCUCUAGAACAAGUAAUCACAGAAACGGCAAAGAAGAUUUCCACUCCUAGCCUUUCAUCCUACUAUAAAGGAGGAUUUGAACAGAAAAUGAGUAGGCGAGAAGCUAGUCUUAUUUUGGGUAUAAGCCCAUCUGCUGGCAAGGCCAAGAUUAGAACAGCUCAUAGGAGAAUUAUGAUUUUGAAUCACCCAGAUAAAGGUGGAUCUCCUUACUUAGCAACCAAAAUAAAUGAAGCAAAAGACUUGCUGGAAGCAACCACCAAACAUUGAUUGAUGCCCAAGAAGCACUCUGAAGGAAGAGAAGGGGGAAUUUAAAGCAAGAAAGUCCUGCAAAUUAAUCUAAGCCACGACCUUCACAAUUUCCGUACAUGUAUUGACCACAAUCAUUUAUUUCAAUAUUAAGCUGAAAAAUCGAUCCAAGAGAAUUUAGAGAAAAAAACAGUCCUUUGGCCAGCUUUACGGCAAAGCCAGUGAUGUCCAAGGAUGCCGUCAUGUUCGUGUCUCAUUUGUGACUGC